AUCAGAGUGAAUUUGUAAUAGUUUAAUUCAUGUUAAUUCAAGUCACCUUUAUUUAGUUCAGAAUCAUGUAAUUGGUUGUAAUACAUGCAAUUAACCAACACACGUUAACUUGUACAAUUUGCUUGAAGACAUGCAAGUCACUUAACUCAUAAUUUACUGUAAUUUGUUUACUUUUAUCUUUGAGGGGAAAAUAGGUGCAAAGCUAAUACAAAUCAGCUGAGUAUUGUUUAAUCAGAUCAAGCACCUUGCAAUAUAUGACCAUUUCUCAUGCAUAGUAGUGCAUGAUAUUUCAUUCCACUACAACUUAAAGAAUAUUUUUAAUCUGUUUCAUUUCACAAAUAAAAUUUUCAAGUGUAAGGACAGCCUCAUUAAAUUCAUUAAUUUGUGCUGUAUUACCAUUUGGUUGAAACUUGCUUCUACUUUUUCCACGAAAGACAAAUUCAUUUUCAUCAAGUGAAAAAGUAUUUUUCAUUUCCACAUUAUUUUUAAGAAUGCAAUCUUUGGCUAAAAUCAAAAUCAAACUUCUUAGACAGUAAAUCCCAUUCAAUUUAGAGGAACUUAUUUCAGAAAAAAAACCUAUGCUUAGGACUCCAGUUACUGAUUGUAAAUACAGGGUGAUUCAUAAUGAUGUAUACAGUUUCCAUUUAUAGUAAAUGGAAACUGUAUGCUUCAUUAUGAAUCACUCUGUAUAUUUACACAUAUAGGAAAGUGGCUGUGGAAAUGAAGGCUAAUGACUGUGUUCAUCAAUUCUGCCUUACUAUUGUACUUCAGCAUCACCAAUUCCUCAGCUUCUGUAUGGAAACUCCCAUUCAUUCCCAGCUUCAGCUGGAAUGUGGUGGGUGCCUUUUUUCAGCCGCUAGUUCAGUUGUGCAAAGGAGAACUUUUGUGUGGUAGAAACCAUCAGAAACAGAUCAUGAACAAGAACACCAAUACCUACGAUUGGCAUGCUGAUAAAAAGUCACUGAAAGGAUAGUCAGACAUGUAAGAGUUUGCAUAGUCUUGACUUACGUGGGGUGACUAUAAAAUUUAUUCCAUGAUAACAAUUGCUGCAUAAUUAUAGAACUCUUUAAAGGCCAUUCUCAAGGCAUACAAGAUAUCCAGGAUCAGCAGGGCAGAGGAUGAGGAAGGUGAACCAGGUCAACCUCAGGUUUCUCAAAAACAGGUUGUUUCAGACUAAUCUUAUUUUUUAAAUAGAGUUAAAGCUUGGUGGAUCACAGAGAUGCUGUGGAUGUGGUGUAUCUUGAUUUCAAUAGGGCUUUUGACAUUCCCCCAUUAUAUUCUUGUGGAGAAGCUGAUAAAAUGUGGGCUAGAUGAUGUUGCUGUAAGGUGGAUAAGUAGCUGCCCGACUCCCUGAACCCAAAGGGUGCUCCCAGUGGUUCCUUUCCAUCCUGGAAAAAAAGUGAUGGCUAAACAUGGGUGCCGCAGGGUUCUGUCCUGGGCCCUGUUGGUUGGGAAAAUUGAAAAGUGAGAGAAACCAAAAUGGACAGAUGUGCCUGUCUCUAGCUGUGAGUACCUCAGAUUACUCUGCUUAUUAGAAUUCUUGCAUUCUGCUCCAAAUGUCUCCAUGAGACACGUGGCCAGUGUGACAUGAGGUAAGAGCAGCCCUUCCCUAGCCCAUACCCUCCAUUUUUUGGAGACUACAGCACUCCUCAGGCUCAGUCAGCAUUACCAAAUUAUCAGGGUCUGUGGGAUUUGUAAUUUAAAACAUUGGAAGGACAUCAGAUUGGGGAGCCCUGUCUUUCAGAGUGAUACAGCAGCAAUUUGAACGCCUACAUCUGCAAUCCUAUACUCACUACCAUGAGAGUAAGUCCAGCUUGAAGUCAGUGGGUAGAUUUUGUAUAAGAUUGUGCUGUUAAAAGUAUUUAUAUUGUCGGAGCACAGAUCCAUCUAACUCAGUGCAGUCUAUGACUAUCGGUGGCUCAUCAGUGGCCUUCCUAAUUCUCUGAUAUUGGAUCCAUUUUAACUAGAGGUGCCAAAUGCUGAAUUUUGGAUUUAUUCUUCAAUUCUCCUCUCCAUAUUUCUCUUAGUAGGAUGACCUGGGCAGAGGAACUUUUGCCCAUGGAAGUUGCUGUUGCAGUCCUGUCAUUUUUCUUAUCCUAAGGCAGACUGCUUGAAUGAGCAGUGCUUGAGUACAGUGGUACCUCAGGUUAAGAACUUAAUUCGUUCUGGAGGUCCGUUCUUAACCUGAAACUGUCCUUAACUUGAGCUACCACUUUAGCUAGUAGGGCCUCCUGCUGCCGCCGCACAAUUUCUGUUCUCAUCCUGAAGCAAAGUUCUUAACCCAAGGUAAUAUUUCUGGGUUAGCGGAGUCUGUAACCUGAAGCAUCUGUAACCCGAGGUACCACUGUACGUUGAUGUGUUUAACAUCUGAACCAACCUGAAGACUCUGCUCUGAAAUAUACCCAAAGUAUUCCUGUGUCCUCCAAUGACGUGCGCAUGGAAAUUAGCUCAGAGUUGAUGUGGUUCACCUAAACAGUACUCUUACAAUUUGUAGACUUUAGAACUCAGUGAAAUACGUUCUCCCUACGCCUUGGUAACUGAUGUUUAUACUUUCCCUGUGAUUAUCUAAUAAAAGCACCUGAAGCUAUAAAUAUGAUAAAGUGAGUUCCUGCUGGGUAUUAUGUAGUCAGAUAUUUUCUCGCCUGUUUUUAAACUGACUGCUUAUAAUUACAGUCUAAAGAUUCAUUUAACUCUGGCUUGGUUGGGAGAAACAACUUUUUUAAAAAUAAAAAUAAAUACUGUGAUGCAGCAGAAGCUUCCCACUCUAAAACAAGUGGCAUCAGAGAUGUGGGAACCAGCCUUACCAGCCACCACAGAUGACUGUUCCUCCCAGAAACAACUUCACACUUACCCAGCAGCAAGUGAUUCUUUUUCUUGUAAUGAAUAAAUUCAUGACCAACAUUUGGUUGGUCAUGAACAGAGUGGAAGUAUGAAUUUGAAUCUAUGGUGCGCUGCGUGAUAUAUGUCCUUUUUCUUUUGAUGCUCUUUUACAGAAAGGAGAAUGGGUGGAAUUGAACCACUGAUUUCAUUGUGACCAUUUAGCACCUUGUUAACCCUUUCCUAUUGGAAUUUGAAGUCCUUAACGUUGUUGGAUUGUGGCCAGUCUUCUUACAUCUGAAAACUUACUAAUGAGAUUGUUCUCAAAGAAACAAUGGCCACAGUCCACCCCUUACAUAGGACUAGCAGCCUUAUACACAGCAUCUAUUGGAAAUUCUAAGAAACCCAAAAAAUCAGUGCAAGUUUAAAAUCAAUGCAGUUUUUGAAGAAUAAAUCUGCCAUCUUGAUUUGAAAUGGCAUCCAGCUGUAUCCAAAUAUAGAUGAAAACUUGCUUCUUGAUCUCAGGUACCAUCAGGUCUCCCACUGAUCCCAAAGCUUAAGGGCUCACACUGCUAGUUAGAUCAGGCCUGGAUAUUAGCUGCCCCUGGUAUACUUUCCAUUACAUUAACUAUAUGUGAGAUCGGUACAGUGGUACCUCUGGUUACGUACUUAAUUCGUUCCGGAGGUCUGUUCUUAACCUGAAACUGUUCUUAUCCUGAAGCACCACUUUAGCUAAUGGGGCCUCCCACUGCCGCCGCGCUGCCGCCACACCAUUUCUGUUCUCAUCCUGAAGCAAAGUUCUUAACCCAAGGUUAUAUUUCUGGGUUAGCGGAGUCUGUAACCUGAAGUGUAUGUAACCUGAAGCGUAUGUAAUCCGAGCUAUCACUGUAAUGGCAAAGGCAUCCGUUUCGUUAGGAAUAAUAAUCAGAGCUGCAUUUUACUCUUCCAGAACUACCUGAGAUGCUGUAUAAAACUUGGUUCUUAGUAGAAAGAUCUUUAACAGCACAACUAACUACAUCAUUUCUUUUAAGGCAUGGGGUAGAUCUAGUUAACAGACAGAAUUUAUAUUUUCAAAAAUGGAGAGCAGCCACUGCAUCCCACCCCCGAAAACUUGGUGUGUAACCUGUAGCACCUAGGAGAGACUUAUUCAGAUAGCAAUCAACAACUUCGGACUGAGCUACAUUGGUAAAGAAAAUACGUUUUAUAUGUGUAUAUGCGAUAUAACACUGUGACACCAGAUGGCGCUGUGGAGUCCUGUUUUUCCCUAUCGAAUUUCCCUGUAUGAGUUUACAGCGCGUUUAACCGAAUCACUUCUUUGACAUGUCUGGAUCCAGCCUUGGAAUGGAGUCAAGAAGUUGACCUUAUAAUGACAAUAUUCAGCCUAAUUUUUUUACAUUAAAAAACAACACCCGCUUUGUGAAACAUCUUCCCUAAUGAAGAGUUCUGAAGUGUACUCAGAAGCUUGACAGUAUUUUGUUACAUUUUGGUUAGUCUUAAAGUUUUGCUUGACUGUGUAUUUUGGAGUUACACUGUAGAUCAUUGAUCUGAUUCAGAUAUAUCUGAGAGCAAUGCUGUACAAAUCCAUUUCCCUCAAACCAUUUC